AGUGAACGCUGGCGGUAGGCCUAACACAUGCAAGUCGAACGGCAGCACAGUAAGAGCUUGCUCUUACGGGUGGCGAGUGGCGGACGGGUGAGGAAUACAUCGGAAUCUACUUUUUCGUGGGGGAUAACGUAGGGAAACUUACGCUAAUACCGCAUACGACCUACGGGUGAAAGCAGGGGAUCUUCGGACCUUGCGCGAUUGAAUGAGCCGAUGUCGGAUUAGCUAGCUGGCGGGGUAAAGGCCCACCAAGGCGACGAUCCGUAGCUGGUCUGAGAGGAUGAUCAGCCACACUGGAACUGAGACAGGGUCCAGACUCCUACGGGAGGCAGCAGUGGGGAAUAUUGGACAAUGGGCGCAAGCCUGAUCCAGCCAUACCGCGUGGGUGAAGAAGGCCUUCGGGCUGUAAAGCCCUUUUGUUGGGAAAGAAAAGCAGCAGGUUGAUACCCCGCUGUUCUGACGGUACCCAAAGAAUAAGCACCGGCUAACUUCGUG
rnacentral:rRNA from 1 species